UAACAGAGCCCUCGCGGAUGGGUGACGCUGAGACUCCCAGCAAGACAGGACCAGUUCUCGUUGAGAUCAUCGUCUUCACUGGUGUGAGCUGCCUCGUCUUCAUCAUCUUCAUCAUCAUCGUUAUCGUAGGUUGUUUGAAGUGCUUCAAAAAGCGCUCUGGAUUACGGAGGAGAAGUGACGGAGGUGCUCGAGAAGAACAAACAGUCAUGACCACUAAUCUUUAGGACGAACACGGCCGGGUGAUGCAAGUUUACUGAAACUGAUGAACUGUAAAACCAGCCAAUGUUUGGCUAUGUAAAGAUGAUCUGAUAAUUCAGUCCUCGUUUGGUCCACUACUUCAGUGUAUUACUACCACUAGUCUUUACUGGACUACUUCAAAGUAUUAUGCAAUAAUCAUUUUGAGUAUCAUAUAACAUCUUGUCAUGCAUGCCUUUUUAAGCUCAUGUCAUAAUUGUAUUUAUUCACAAAUUUUAUAUGGAAUUAUUAGUGUUAUGAGAAGUCUAAAUAUGACCUGAAAUCUCUUUUUAUGAUGGUUUUCCGAAGAUGAAAGUCUGUUCUGGACUGAAGGAGGUAUUAUGUGUCUAGAAAGAGCACUUACAAUGACUUACAAAGAUACACAGCAACAAUGUGUGUAUUCAUUCUAUAGAAAAAUGACUUUUUGUUCUCUUGUUUCUCAUUUUUGUCUUGAUGAUAUCCCAUAAUUUGUUUAUGGGGUUCAGGUCUUCUGGCCAGUCGAGCACACCAACACCAUGGUCAUUUAACCAACUUGGGCAGGAGCCAAACCCUGCUGGAAAAAUUAAAUCAGCAUCUUCAAAAAGCUGGUCAUCAGAAAGAAGCAUGAAGUGCUCCACAAUUUCUUGUUAAAUGGGUUUCAAAAAACACAAUGGCCUCAUUCUUAGUGGUCUCAGAUUCUUGAAUUGGUUUUGCUCGACAAUCCUCAUAAGGCUGCGGUUCUCUUGCUUGGUUGAGCAUCUGGUUUCUGGUUGAGUUUCCUUCUGCUCAACUUUCUGUUAACAUGCUUGGAUACAGCACUCUGUGAACAGACGGCUUCUUUGACAAUGAAUGUUGUGAAGGGUGUCAAUAUGUCACGGGGUGGUUUAGCAGGAAGGAGCACUCGACGAGAUUAAAUAAACUUAAACAGUUUUAAUCUUCUUCAAAUCUUCUAGGCAGCCAGACAGGCAGAACAUAAACCACACGUAUAAACCUCGACGAUACAAACACAGGACUUAAAUACACAAGGAAAUCACUAAAUUAACUAGACACAGGUGAGGACAAUGACACAAUUAACACGAAUAGAGGUAGGGAACACCGAGCACACGACACAAGACAAAAACAACAACAAAGGAUCCAAAGACGUGACACAAGGAUUGAGAAGAAUAGUGAACCAAACUGAGAGACCUUUGCAGGUGUUGCAGUGAUUAGCUGAUUGGCAUGUCACCGUGUUGUCAUUUGUUGAGAUUGGUGGGUUUUUGUUACAUAUGAGCCAAAAUCAUAAUUAAAAAAAAGAAUUAAAUAA